UGAGGAAUAUUGGUCAAUGGGCGGAAGCCUGAACCAGCCAUGCCGCGUGAAGGACUAAGGCCCUAUGGGUCGUAAACUUCUUUAGACGCAGAGCAAUAAGGGUCUCGCGAGAUCCGAUGAGAGUAUGCGUAGAAUAAGCAUCGGCUAACUCCGUGCCAGCAGCCGCGGUAAUACGGGGGAUGCGAGCGUUAUCCGGAUUUAUUGGGUUUAAAGGGUGCGUAGGCGGCUUGGUAAGUCAGCGGUGAAAUUCCAGUGCUCAACAUUGGCCGUGCCGUUGAUACUGCUGGGCUUGAAUGCGGAUGCCGUGGGAGGAAUGUGUGGUGUAGCGGUGAAAUGCAUAGAUAU
rnacentral:rRNA from 1 species